rnacentral:rRNA from 1 species
GACGAACGCUGGCGGCGUGCUUAACACAUGCAAGUCGAGCGGUAAGGCCCUUUCGGGGGUACACGAGCGGCGAACGGGUGAGUGACACGUGGGUGACCUGCCCUCAGCUCUGGGAUAAGCCUGGGAAACCGGGUCUAAUACUGGAUAUGACUCCAUGACGCAUGUUGUGGGGUGGAAAGCCUUGUGCGGCUGAGGAUGGGCCCGCGGCCUAUCAGCUUGUUGGUGGGGGGAU